rnacentral:misc_RNA from 1 species
UCCGAGUUGACCCCGGCAGUCUCCCACGAGUCCCCACCAUCACGUGCUGGCAACAUAGGAUAAGGGUCGCGCUCGUUGCGGGACUUAACCCAACAUCUCACGACACGAGCUGACGACAGCCAUGCAGCACCUGUGUUCGAGUUCCCGAGGGCACCAAUCCAUCUCUGGAAAGUUCUCGACAUGUCAAGGCCAGGUAAGGUGGGGAUGACGUGGGAGGAAUUCCA